rnacentral:rRNA from 1 species
GAUUAAGUUAUUAAGGGCGCACGGUGGAUGCCUUGGCACUAGAAGCCGAUGAAGGACGUUACUAACGACGAUAUGCUUUGGGGAGCUGUAAGUAAGCUUUGAUCCAGAGAUUUCCGAAUGGGGAAACCCAGCAUGAGUUAUGUCAUGUUAUCGAUAUGUGAAUACAUAGCAUAUCAGAAGGCACACCCGGAGAACUGAAACAUCUUAGUACCCGGAGGAAGAGAAAGAAAAUUCGAUUCCCUUAGUAGCGGCGAGCGAAACGGGAAGAGCCCAAACCAACAAGCUUGCUUGUUGGGGUUGUAGGACACUCUAUACGGAGUUACAAAGGACGACAUUAGACGAAUCAUCUGGAAAGAUGAAUCAAAGAAGGUAAUAAUCCUGUAGUCGAAAAUGUUGUCUCUCUUGAGUGGAUCCUGAGUACGACGGAGCACGUGAAAUUCCGUCGGAAUCUGGGAGGACCAUCUCCUAAGGCUAAAUACUCUCUAGUGACCGAUAGUGAACCAGUACCGUGAGGGAAAGGUGAAAAGCACCCCGGAAGGGGAGUGAAAUAGAACCUGAAACCGUGUGCUUACAAGUAGUCAGAGCCCGUUAAUGGGUGAUGGCGUGCCUUUUGUAGAAUGAACCGGCGAGUUACGAUUUGAUGCAAGGUUAAGCAGUAAAUGUGGAGCCGUAGCGAAAGCGAGUCUGAAUAGGGCGUUUAGUAUUUGGUCGUAGACCCGAAACCAGGUGAUCUACCCUUGGUCAGGUUGAAGUUCAGGUAACACUGAAUGGAGGACCGAACCGACUUACGUUGAAAAGUGAGCGGAUGAACUGAGGGUAGCGGAGAAAUUCCAAUCGAACCUGGAGAUAGCUGGUUCUCUCCGAAAUAGCUUUAGGGCUAGCCUCAAGUGAUGAUUAUUGGAGGUAGAGCACUGUUUGGACGAGGGGCCCCUCUCGGGUUACCGAAUUCAGACAAACUCCGAAUGCCAAUUAAUUUAACUUGGGAGUCAGAACAUGGGUGAUAAGGUCCGUGUUCGAAAGGGAAACAGCCCAGACCACCAGCUAAGGUCCCAAAAUAUAUGUUAAGUGGAAAAGGAUGUGGCGUUGCCCAGACAACUAGAAUGUUGGCUUAGAAGCAGCCAUCAUUUAAAGAGUGCGUAAUAGCUCACUAGUCGAGUGACACUGCGCCGAAAAUGUACCGGGGCUAAACAUAUUACCGAAGCUGUGGAUUGUCCUUUGGACAAUGGUAGGAGAGCGUUCUAAGGGCGUUGAAGCAUGAUCGUAAGGACAUGUGGAGCGCUUAGAAGUGAGAAUGCCGGUGUGAGUAGCGAAAGACGGGUGAGAAUCCCGUCCACCGAUUGACUAAGGUUUCCAGAGGAAGGCUCGUCCGCUCUGGGUUAGUCGGGUCCUAAGCUGAGGCCGACAGGCGUAGGCGAUGGAUAACAGGUUGAUAUUCCUGUACCACCUAUAAUCGUUUUAAUCGAUGGGGGGACGCAGUAGGAUAGGCGAAGCGUGCGAUUGGAUUGCACGUCUAAGCAGUAAGGCUGAGUAUUAGGCAAAUCCGGUACUCGUUAAGGCUGAGCUGUGAUGGGGAGAAGACAUUGAGUCUUCGAGUCGUUGAUUUCACACUGCCGAGAAAAGCCUCUAGAUAGAAAAUAGGUGCCCGUACCGCAAACCGACACAGGUAGUCAAGAUGAGAAUUCUAAGGUGAGCGAGCGAACUCUCGUUAAGGAACUCGGCAAAAUGACCCCGUAACUUCGGGAGAAGGGGUGCUCUUUAGGGUUAACGCCCAGAAGAGCCGCAGUGAAUAGGCCCAAGCGACUGUUUAUCAAAAACACAGGUCUCUGCUAAACCGUAAGGUGAUGUAUAGGGGCUGACGCCUGCCCGGUGCUGGAAGGUUAAGAGGAGUGGUUAGCUUCUGCGAAGCUACGAAUCGAAGCCCCAGUAAACGGCGGCCGUAACUAUAACGGUCCUAAGGUAGCGAAAUUCCUUGUCGGGUAAGUUCCGACCCGCACGAAAGGCGUAACGAUUUGGGCACUGUCUCAACGAGAGACUCGGUGAAAUCAUAGUACCUGUGAAGAUGCAGGUUACCCGCGACAGGACGGAAAGACCCCGUGGAGCUUUACUGUAGCCUGAUAUUGAAAUUCGGCACAGCUUGUACAGGAUAGGUAGGAGCCUUUGAAACGUGAGCGCUAGCUUACGUGGAGGCGCUGGUGGGAUACUACCCUAGCUGUGUUGGCUUUCUAACCCGCACCACUUAUCGUGGUGGGAGACAGUGUCAGGCGGGCAGUUUGACUGGGGCGGUCGCCUCCUAAAAGGUAACGGAGGCGCUCAAAGGUUCCCUCAGAAUGGUUGGAAAUCAUUCAUAGAGUGUAAAGGCAUAAGGGAGCUUGACUGCGAGACCUACAAGUCGAGCAGGGUCGAAAGACGGACUUAGUGAUCCGGUGGUUCCGCAUGGAAGGGCCAUCGCUCAACGGAUAAAAGCUACCCCGGGGAUAACAGGCUUAUCUCCCCCAAGAGUUCACAUCGACGGGGAGGUUUGGCACCUCGAUGUCGGCUCAUCGCAUCCUGGGGCUGUAGUCGGUCCCAAGGGUUGGGCUGUUCGCCCAUUAAAGCGGUACGCGAGCUGGGUUCAGAACGUCGUGAGACAGUUCGGUCCCUAUCCGUCGUGGGCGUAGGAAAUUUGAGAGGAGCUGUCCUUAGUACGAGAGGACCGGGAUGGACAUACCUCUGGUGUACCAGUUGUCGUGCCAACGGCAUAGCUGGGUAGCUAUGUGUGGACGGGAUAAGUGCUGAAAGCAUCUAAGCAUGAAGCCCCCCUCAAGAUGAGAUUUCCCAACUUCGGUUAUAAGAUCCCUCAAAGAUGAUGAGGUUAAUAGGUUCGAGGUGGAAGCAUGGUGACAUGUGGAGCUGACGAAUACUAAUCGAUCGAAGACUUAAUCAA